UGAUGCAGCCAUGCCGCGUGUGUGAAGAAGGCCGUUCGGGUUGUAAAGCACUUUCAGGUAGGGAGGAAGGUAGUGUAGUUAACACCUGCAUUAUUUGACGUUACCUACAGAAGAAGCACCGGCUAACUCCGUGCCAGCAGCCGACGGUAAUACGGGAGGGUGCGAGCGUUAAUCGGAAUUACUGGGCGUAAAGCGCAUGCAGGCGGCCUGUUAAGUCAGAUGUGAAAGCCCGGGGCUUAACCUCGGAAUUGCAUUUGAAACUGGCAGGCUAGAGUCUUGUAGAGGGGGGUAGGAAUUUCAGGUGUAGCGGUGAAAUGCGUAGAGAUCUGAAGGAAUACCAGUGGCGAAGGCGGCCCCCUGGACAAAGACUGACGCUCAGAUGCGAAAGCGUGGGGAGCAAACAGGAUUGAUACCCUGGUAG
rnacentral:rRNA from 1 species